rnacentral:lncRNA from 1 species
AUGGCAUAUACUAUAUUUUUAUUAAGUGUCUUUUUGACUAUAGGGUUUGUAGGUUUCUCUUCGAAACCUUCUCCUAUUUAUGGAGGUCAAGGGCUUAUUACUAGUGGUGCUGUGGGUUGUGGUAUUGUGUUGAAUUUUGGUGGGGCUUUCAUGGGGUUGAUAGUCUGUGUGGUUUAUUUGGGUGGUAUGAUGGUUGUUUUUGGCUAUACUAUGACGAUGGAAACUGAGGAGUAUUCUGAAACAUAAGGGUUAAAUAUUGACAUCUGAGGAGAUUUCUUAUUAGGACUGUUAAUGGAGUUGAUGCUGGUUCUGUGAUUAAUUGAGCACGAUGGAGUGGGGAUCACGAUUGCUUUUAAUAGCAUAGAGAGUUGGAUGAUUUUUGAGGGUGAGGGGGCAGGGUUAUUGCGUGAAGAUUCUCUGGGUGUGGCUGCCUUGUACAGUUAUGGGUGCUGAUUAGUGGUAGUUGCUGGUUGAUCAUUAUUUUUUAGUAUUUACGUUGCAAUUGAAAUUACUUAGGAUAAUAG